rnacentral:rRNA from 1 species
GAACGCUGGCGGCGUGCCUAAUACAUGCAAGUCGAGCGAACAGACGAGGAGCUUGCUCCUCUGACGUUAGCGGCAGACGGGUGAGUAACACGUGGAUAACCUACCUAUAAGACUGGGAUAACUUCGGGAAACCGGAGCUAAUACCGGAUAAUAUAUUGAACCGCAUGGUUCAAUAGUGAAAGACGGUUUUGCUGUCACUUAUAGAUGGAUCCGCGCCGCAUUAGCUAGUUGGUAAGGUAACGGCUUACCAAGGCGACGAUGCGUAGCCGACCUGAGAGGGUGAUCGGCCACACUGGAACUGAGACACGGUCCAGACUCCUACGGGAGGCAGCAGUAGGGAAUCUUCCGCAAUGGGCGAAAGCCUGACGGAGCAACGCCGCGUGAGUGAUGAAGGUCUUCGGAUCGUAAAACUCUGUUAUUAGGGAAGAACAAAUGUGUAAGUAACUAUGCACGUCUUGACGGUACCUAAUCAGAAAGCCACGGCUAACUACGUG